GCCGCCGCCACCGUAGCCUCCGCCUCCGCCGCGCUGGCCGUAGCCGCCUCCGCCUCCGCCUCCGGAGCGGCGCGACUGGGCCUCGUUGACGGUGAUGUUGCGGCCGUCGAGCUCCUUGCCGUUCAUCCCCUCGAUGGCGUCGCGCAUGGCCUGCUCGCUCGAGAACGUCACGAACCCGAACCCGCGCGACCUCCCCGUCUCCCGAUCGUUGAUGAUCUUGGACUCGAGGAUCUCGCCGAAGGUGGAGAAGGCGGCUUCGAGGGAGCGGUCGUCGGUGGCCCAGGCGAGGCCGCCGACG
rnacentral:misc_RNA from 1 species